GAUGAACGCUGGCGGCGUGCUUAACACAUGCAAGUCGAACGGAAAGGCUCCUUCUUGCAGGGGUCCUGUAGUGGCGAACGGGUGAGUAGCACGUAGGUGAUCUGUCCUUCACUUCGGGAUAAGCUUGUGAAGCUGGGUCUAAUACCGGAUAGGACUUAUGUUUGGAUGCUAUUGUGGCGAGUUUUUUCGGUGUUGGUUGAGCUCGCGGCCUAUCAGCUUGUGGUCGGGGUAUUGGCCUACCAAGGCGUCGGCGGGUAGCCGGCCUGGGAGGGUGUACGGCUCAAUUGGGCCUGGACUACGACCCAGACUCCUACGGGAGGCAGCAGUGGGGAAUAUUGCACAAUGGGCGGAAGCCUAAUGUAGUCAAGCAGCGUGGGGGAUGACGGCCUUCGGGUUGUAAACUACUUCCGCUAGGGACGAAGCGCAAGUGACAGUACCUGGAGAAGAAGCACCGGCUAACUACGUG
rnacentral:rRNA from 1 species